CAACCACAUAUCAUCCAAACCAUCUCCAAGUGGAUGGCAGUAAGGAUCCAGGAUCAAGAGAUCAUUCAUCAUGAAGACUGUUCCAUAGGAAGCAGCGAAUCCUGGAUCAUCCUGACCAUUCUGUUGUCCUGGAUUUGAAGACAUGCUGGAACUGUAUUUCUCGUGGCUGAAAGAUUUGUGCAGUGGUAUCCAGACAUAUAAGCAGCCUUCCUGGACCCACACGACUAAAGGCUCUGGAGGAGAGACAGAUUCAAGGGAAAGAUGAAAAAUAAGGAAGUCUGGGAACGACUGAAGAAGACCGCAGCGAGGGAAGG